rnacentral:rRNA from 1 species
GAAGAAGCACCGGCUAACUCCGUGCCAGCAGCCGCGGUAAUACGGAGGGUGCAAGCGUUAAUCGGAAUUACUGGGCGUAAAGCGCACGCAGGCGGUCUGUCAAGUCGGAUGUGAAAUCCCCGGGCUCAACCUGGGAACUGCAUUCGAAACUGGCAGGCUUGAGUCUUGUAGAGGGGGGUAGAAUUCCAGGUGUAGCGGUGAAAUGCGUAGAGAUCUGGAGGAAUACCGGUGGCGAAGGCGGCCCCCUGGACAAAGACUGACGCUCAGGUGCGAAAGCGUGGGGAGCAAACAGGAUUAGAUAC